AAAAAAUGUUACAAAAUAGUUUCCACUAUGUGGUGACGACAGACGACGUUCGUGGACCUUAAAACCCUAACCUAAACCCUUUCCUCAAUUUCUUCAUUCUAACCCCGAAAUGUUCAAAUUUUCCUCCACUUUUCUUCUACAUUUCUUCCAAAAACGUUCUCUCAAUACCAUUUCUACUUCUACAUUGCCUUUGCCCUCUGUUUCUACCCUCGAAUUCCUCAAAAAUUCAUGUCGCCUUUCUUCAGAAUCUCCUUCUUUCGUCGCCGGUCGAAAGUUCCAAUUCGAUGAAAAAAACAUCCAGCAGUACGAAGCCAUUAUCGGUUUCUUGAAAUCGCAUGGAUUCGAGGAUUCAGAGAUCGCCAAGUUGGUCUCCAAGCGACCUUUCAUCCUUCAAUCCAGAGUAUCCAACAAUCUGAAGCCUAAAUUCGAGUUCCUCCAGGAAAUCGGGUUCGUCGGUCCUUUACUUUUUAAGCUAUUCCUAUCAAACCCUUGGAUUCUUUACAGGAACUUAGAUUCUCAGUUAAAACCAUUGUUUUUUUUCCUAAAGGAAAUGCUUGGAUCGGAUGAACAAGUAAUUAGUGCUAUUCGUCGUUCUCCCUGGCUUCUAACUUCUGAUUUUAAGGGUAUUUUAAAAUCUAACAUUGAUGUUUUAGCCAGUGAAGGAGUACCUUCUAGCAAUAUAGCAAAACUGAUUGCAUAUAAUUCUAGAACUAUAAUGCAUACGGUUGAUAGAAUGAUUCAAGUAGUGAAAAUGGUUAAAGAAUUGGGCAUUGAACCAAAGUCUGCUAGGUUUCUUCAUGCUCUUAGAGUAAGGUGUGCAAUGAGUGAUUCAACCUGGAAGAAGAAAAUAAAUGUUUUGAAGAGUUUAGGAUGGUCUGAGAAUGAGAUACUUACACUAUUUAAGAGACAGCCAAUUUGUUUAGCUCGUUCAGAGGAGGCAUUUAGGGAUGUUGCAGAUUUCUGUUUCAACACUGCGAAGUUGGAUCCAGAAACUGUAAUUUCUUACCCUAAGUUCUUCACGUAUUCAGUCGACAAGCUCUGGCCAAGGUACAAAGUUCUUGAGGUUUUGAAGGUAAAAAAUCUUCUUAAGGACAGAAAGGUUGCUCGGGCGCUAACACUAGUGGAGAGACAAUUUGUGGAGACUUAUGUUCUAAAGCAUUUGGAUGAAAUACCAAAGCUAAUGGACAUAUACCGGGGCAAUGUCACAGCCGAAACCAGUUCUGUUCUAUAGGAUUGGAAAGCUGUAAGUUAACAGUCUUCUCUUCUUAUAGUUUAAAUUUCAGCAUCAUUAUCUUCAAAUGGAGGACCAUUUUUGUUGUUAUUGAGCCUACUGUUUCAGAACACUGCUUUUUCAGAUUUUCAAGAUCUCUCUCUCUUUCAAAGUGGGAGAGUUCUGUUGUUUUCCUUUUCAAUUUUAAGGCUCUUAGCUAAAUCUAUUGUUGUAUAUUUCUUAAUGUUGCUAAGUAUGUAGCCUAACUCUAGUUCCAAUGACCUCGAAAUGAGCGGCCUUUUGUUUUUCCCUUCCUAAUCUUUCGGACAAGUAUCGUAGUACCGGGACUAGUAUUUAAAUGACCAAAAGCAACGGCAAGCUGUUUACUAUGGCUAUUGAGGAGCUGUUCUUGCACAUCGCCUUCUACAUUGUUAAUCAAAAGCAUAAAUAUCCGCAAGCAAGACAUAGUAGCCACCUUCCUCCGGGUUCAACUCAAAUAGUUUGUAGCGGCUCCCUCCCAAUUCAACAUUUUUGUGAAUUUACUAGCAUCCAACGUAGCACCACAUACAGUAAUCCCUAGACCAAUAGGCAUGUUUUGAGUACAAUCCGAGACUUCUUUGAUCCUGCUAGCUCGACCGAUAAGGUCAACCACAGCACCGUAGUGAUCCAUUGAAGCCUCCAAUCUAAAUGGCAGAGUCCGGCAAGCAGAGAUGACAGAUAAAAAUGUAAUAUAAUUUGACUCUACUCUUCCUUUUUUUUUCAUAUUUUCAAAGAAAUAUGGAAGAGUCUUUUCAAGUCUAGGCGUUCCAUUCCAUCUAUCAUCACAUUCUAUGUUAUGACAUGUCGUUUAUUGCUCAUGUAAAAUAAAAAAGCUUCCUUGUCAUAUGAAUGACUCCACAUUUUGCA